GAUGAACGCUGGCGGCGUGCCUAAUACAUGCAAGUCGAACGAACAGACGAGUUGCUUGCUCCUUCGACGUUAGCGGCGGACGGGUGAGUAACAAGAAGGUAACCUACCUAUAAGACUGGGAUGACUUCGGGAUGCCGGAGCUAAUACCGGAGGAUAUUUCGAGCCGCAUGGUUCGAUAGUGAAAGAUGGCUUUGCUAUCACUGAUGGAUGGACCUGCGCCGUAUUAGCUAGUUGGUAAGGUAACGGCUUACCAAGGCAACGAUACGUAGCCGACCUGAGAGGGUGAUCGGCGACCACGGAACUGAGACGCGGCCCAGACGCCUACGGGAGGCGGCAGUAGGGAAUAUUACGCAAUGGGCGAAAGCCUGACGGAGCAACGCCGCGUGAGGGAUGAUGGUCUUCGGAGCGUAAAAAUCUGUUAUUAGGGAAGAACAAACGUGUAAGUAACUGUGCAUGUCUUGACGGUAGCUAAUCAGAAAGCCCCGGCUAACUACGUG
rnacentral:rRNA from 1 species